AGAGUUUGAUCAUGGCUCAGAUUGAACGCUGGCGGCAGGCCUAACACAUGCAAGUCGAACGGUAACAGGAAACAGCUUGCUGUUUCGCUGACGAGUGGCGGACGGGUGAGUAAUGUCUGGGAAACUGCCUGAUGGAGGGGGAUAACUACUGGAAACGGUAGCUAAUACCGCAUAACGUCGCAAGACCAAAGAGGGGGACCUUCGGGCCUCUUGCCAUCGGAUGUGCCCAGAUGGGAUUAGCUAGUAGGUGGGGUAACGGCUCACCUAGGCGACGAUCCCUAGCUGGUCUGAGAGGAUGACCAGCCACACUGGAACUGAGACACGGUCCAGACUCCUACGGGAGGCAGCAGAGGGGAAUAUUGCACAAUGGGCGCAAGCCUGAUGCAGCCAUGCCGCGUGUAUGAAGAAGGCCUUCGGGUUGUAAAGUACUUUCAGCGGGGAGGAAGGGAGUAAAGUUAAUACCCUUUGCUCAUUGACGUUACCC
rnacentral:rRNA from 1 species